rnacentral:rRNA from 1 species
GAUCUAGUAAGUUACAUCAGCAGUCGCGUCGCAUGCUAGAUAUACCUGAGUUGAAUACAGUCGAGCACAGCCGCCUCUCCUUGGUCGGCGCGACUCACAUCAUUAGCAUCUGUGGAGCGGGCCACACCUCCAUCUCUAUAGACGACGUCGGAAUGAUGAUCCAUCCGCGUGUUGCUGUAAUCUUCACCCCCCCCCCUUCGUGUGUGGGAGGACCCCACCCAGUAGUAUAUAAAAUUUGUUCUGGCGUGAGUAAUAGUAAGUAUAUUCAACAAGAAAAUAUCCCCCAACUAUUUUUCCAGCAAACCCGCGGCGUUUUAUGAGGGGGCCCCAACUUUUGGAGAUAAAUUAUUGUGAAAAUACCCCGCGUAGGGGGCCAUUUAAGGUAGGGGGGUUUUUUCCGGGGUUUUAAAAAACUCAAAAACCUUUUUCAAUGGGUGUUUUGCGCCCCCCAAAAAUUUUUUGGGAAUUUUUGUUGUGUGAGGGGUAAACUUCCGGGAGAUAUUUGCAAAAAACCCAUGGGCGGCAAGCGGACCCGAGGUGCCCUCAGGGAUAAAUUGUCCAAAAACCCUGAGUUUAUUGGCUUUUUGACACUCAGAACGAACGCUGGCGGCAGGCUUAACACAUGCAAGUCGAGCGCCCCGCAAGGGGAGCGGCAGACGGGUGAGUAACGCGUGGGAAUCUACCCUUUUCUACGGAAUAACGCAGGGAAACUUGUGCUAAUACCGUAUAAGCCCUUUGGGGGAAAGAUUUAUCGGGAAAGGAUGAGCCCGCGUUGGAUUAGCUAGUUGGUGGGGUAAAGGCCUACCAAGGCGACGAUCCAUAGCUGGUCUGAGAGGAUGAUCAGCCACAUUGGGACUGAGACACGGCCCAAACUCCUACGGGAGGCAGCAGUGGGGAAUAUUGGACAAUGGGCGCAAGCCUGAUCCAGCCAUGCCGCGUGAGUGAUGAAGGCCCUAGGGUUGUAAAGCUCUUUCACCGGUGAAGAUAAUGACGGUAACCGGAGAAGAAGCCCCGGCUAACUUCGUGCCAGCAGCCGCGGUAAUACGAAGGGGGCUAGCGUUGUUCGGAAUUACUGGGCGUAAAGCGCACGUAGGCGGACAUUUAAGUCAGGGGUGAAAUCCCGGGGCUCAACCCCGGAACUGCCUUUGAUACUGGGUGUCUAGAGUAUGGAAGAGGUGAGUGGAAUUCCGAGUGUAGAGGUGAAAUUCGUAGAUAUUCGGAGGAACACCAGUGGCGAAGGCGGCUCACUGGUCCAUACUGACGCUGAGUGCGACGAGCGUAC